CGGUAAUACGUAGGGGGCAAACGUUGUUUAAACCAGUAGGUGUAAAGGGUGCUCAGGCGGUUCUGACUACUAGAGGUGGGCACCCGAUGCUUAACUCUGGAACUGCUUUUGAUACUGCAAGGCUUGAAUCACUAGGAGGAGGAUGGAAUUUCUGGUGUAGCAGUGAAAUGCGUAGAUAUCAGAAAGAACACCAGUGGCGAAGGCGGUCCUCUGGUCCACUAUUGACGCUAAAGCACGAAAGCGUGGGGAGCAAACAGGAUCAGACGUUUCGGUAGUCCACGCCUUAAACGAUGAAUACUAGACGUUGGGGUUAAACUCAGUGUCGCAGCUAACGCAUUAAGUAUUCCACCUGGGGAGUACGAUCGCAAGGUUGAA
rnacentral:rRNA from 1 species